rnacentral:rRNA from 1 species
CCUACGGGAGGCAGCAGUGGGGAAUUUUGGACAAUGGGCGAAAGCCUGAUCCAGCCAUGCCGCGUGAGUGAAGAAGGCCUUCGGGUUGUAAAGCUCUUUCGGCGGGGACGAAACGGUCCGUGCCAACACCACGGAUCAAUGACGGUACUCGCAGAAGAAGCACCGGCUAACUACGUGCCAGCAGCCGCGGUAAUACGUAGGGUGCGGGCGUUAAUCGGAAUUACUGGGCGUAAAGCGUGCGCAGGCGGCCUCUUAAGUCAGAUGUGAAAUCCCCGGGCUUAACCUGGGAACUGCGUUUGAAACUGGGAGGCUAGAGUGUGGAAGAGGGGGGUGGAAUUCCAGGUGUAGCAGUGAAAUGCGUAGAGAUCUGGAGGAACACCGAUGGCGAAGGCAGCCCCCUGGGCUAACACUGACGCUCAUGCACGAAAGCGUGGGGAGCA